ACCGUCUGGUCUUUGACAACAGUGUAUGGGCCGCACGACUCACAGCGCAAGCAAGCCUUCCUCAACGAGCUCGCCGACAUUCAUAACUUAGUGUCAGGGCCUUGGUUGCUGAUAGGGGAUUUUAACCUGAUUGCGGACCCUAGGGACAAAAACAACAACCGCAUCUGCCGAUGAUGGAUGAACAAAUUUAGACGAACUCUGAAUAGGUCCAGCCUACACGAGUUGCCGCUAAUUGGCGGAAGGUUCACAUGGAGCAAUGAACAAGACUCGCCUACUUUACCGUGCAUUCUGCAAUGUUGA
rnacentral:rRNA from 1 species